AGUCACAAAUGAAGAAGAAGCGUCGAAGCAGAAGGGCAGUCGAUCAUAGACGCGAAGGGGCAAUCGGCGACCAGAAGGGAGCACGAUGGUUCGUCGCUCGACUCGCAAUCGAUGGCGGCCUCCGGGGUUCGACUAGACUGAAGAAGGAGAAGGAUCGAAGCAGCGAGGCGGCUGUGACCUCGGACUAGAAGAAAGAGACGAAGCAGCGGGGCUGUUUGUCUUCGGUCUUGGAAGGAGUUGCGAAGGGAUGGUCUCCGGGGUCGGCGAGGCUGAAGCAACGACGACGGUAAGAAACAGCGAGGAAGUCGAGGUCUUCGUCUUCAACUGAUCACGGAAGAAACGAAAUAGAAGAGGCAAACAGAGGUGGGGAAUCGGAGUUGGCGAAAAAGCUCCGUCGAGAGAGGGAGAGCCGGCAGCAAAGGGCUGCUACGGCGAUCUCUUUUCUUUUCUGGUUCGAUCGGCAUCAACUCACGAAGGAGGAGGAAGGACUUCGGUCCACUGCCUUUGUCUGAUCGAGAAGAAUAAUCCGGUCGGAAGCAGUCACAAGGGUGGUUCGAUGGUGGUUGCAGAUGGGAGUUGUAAGGGGGAAGGUGGGUGGCAUCGGUGAUUGAGGAAGCUGGCGAGAGUAGCAGCUCGGGUGGGGCGUUUGGUUGGUUCAUCUUCAACCUAAAAAUGAACGGAAUCAGUAAUAGGUGGGAAGAGUUGGAACGAAAGGGGAAACAGAAGGUGGGUUUACUGUCUUCACCCAGAUUUUGGAAGACUUUUUGAUGGAUUUGUGGUACUUGGAAAUCUUGGAAGGAUUUUGAGAGGGCAUUGUACUUAUUGGUUCAUGUGUCUAACUGUGAUGUAUUAAUUGUGUAUAGUGUGGUGUAUUGAUUGUGUAUAGUGUGGUGUAUUAUUGAUUAUGUAUUUGUUUAA